rnacentral:lncRNA from 1 species
CCCGAGUGCGGAGAGCGCGGACCCCGCCGCCGCUAUAAAGGCGGCGCCGAGCGCACGAGCUCCGCGCGGGGAGGGGGCGGGGCGGGGCGGGGCGGGGGCGGGGCGGGGCGGCGAGGAGGGGGCGGGUCCACGCGGCCUCGGGAGCGAAGUUCCCAACUUCGAGCUCCCGUGGGAGCGCAGUUCCUGCUCCUGCGGUAGAAGCACCCUGGGGUUGGCAGACGCGCGCCCCGUGUCCUUAGAGACGCUGUCAACUGAUCGGCCGUUCUUUCGGCCUUAGGGACCCAGCCUUCCGACUUGGUGCCGGCUGGAAUCGGCGAUCCCCCGCGGGGCUCCGUUUCCUGUAGCGGGUGCGGCUCGCCGCGCUGGCCCCGUCCGCCCCCGGCCCGAGGGCUCCUGCCGCGCCUCUCCGGGUUCCCAGGCCUGUGGGCUGCGGUGACUGCGCGGAGCCUCAGAUUGGUCCUGCGGCCUCGCUCGUCCUGGUGACCUUCAACAGGUGGAAAUGGGAGAAAGCGGAGUUCACAGGGACUGUGACAGACAAGUGACCUCCGGGGCAGCCUAGGAACCACCUCCAGACCCAGGGGAGGCGGCAAGAUACCGUUUUGAACAGGUGUUCAGGUCAGCAGGCAGCUUUUCUCUGUGCAUUGAUUCAGGAAUCAAAGUUCCUCCCAUUCUGUGGCUUCCCCGUGGUCUUGUUAUCAUCUGCAUUCAGCCAGGAAAAAAGAGAAUGGAGGAAGAAUUGCUGUUCUCCAAAAAAGCUCCAGUCCCGAAGUGGCAAUCACUCUUAUUCAUCAGAAAAGCACCAGCAGGGGAUCAAAGCAAAGAAGGGGUUGCCAUGGACUGGCUGCAUUCAUAGCUCAUCCAGAGGCCACAGCUCCUGCCAGGAGGUCCUUCCUACUGUAGCUCUCUACAGAUGCUGGAAAUUGCUUCCUCCCCAGCCCCAGUAGAACCAGUGGUGGGGUCUCCCUAUUGGCCAGCCCAAGGCAGCACAAUAAAUCACAUGUUUUCUCUAAAUUCUACCAGAACUUUGUAAAUCUUUUCUUUAUCAAAAUCUCUUCAGGGAACUGUUCUUGUCCCAUCGUUGUUCUUCCUGUGGUGUUGCUGCUCAGAAUAGACUUGCAGGGUCUCAUCCUGAGCAUGAACGACUUACAAUCCUUCCAGAACUCAAGGGGUCCUAGAUAACUUCUCAGCUCUUUUUUAGUUUGUCAAAUCUGCUCUGUUUGGGCAUCAACCACAAGUUACACGUCUUAACAUUUUUUGGUAUUGGUUUUCUCAGAUGUACUAUGUUUGUUGAAUUAGAGUAGGUAAGCUCUAGAAUUCUUUAUGAAAAUUCAGCAAUUGCCUCUAGAAUGAUCAGUUUCAGUUUACUACAAAUAUUCAGAGACUAGGUUUACACCUUGAGUCUAGAAAUUCUGUUUUUGAAAUUUUAUACAGCUAACCAACACAGAUGGGGGAGACUAGGCAGUUAUGAAUAAUGAAAUAUUCUGAUUAAUAGUGUAUUAUCAAACAUGCCACACACAGGUGGAGAAUCUAAAGUCUUUAAAAUUAAUUACAUUAUUCAAAGUGCUAUAUUGAACACAAUUUUUCCUGGGGGACUCAGAAGGUGUUUUGGGAUUGCAGUUCCUCACAUGAACCAUUGUGAGCAUGAAUUAUCAUUGUACUUUGAAUUUCUAGAGGUAGUAAGUGGUAGAAAUUUCUAGUUGCUAGAAUCUUGCUGUAAGCUACCUUUUACGUUCCUUAUUUUUAAUAGUUUAAAGAUGCCAUCAAUCUUGAAGAAUAACUACUUGUGAAAAUCAACAUUUUGGAGGGUCUUCAACUAAAUUAUCAGUUAUCAUUUUCCUUUUUAAAAUUUAAGGCACCAGUCUCAGAGGAAAACACCAUCUCAUCUCUUUAUUUCUUUAUUUUCCACCAUUCCAUCAAAUGCUUACAGCUCAUAUAUGACACCAACUGUCAAAUGCAAGAGGCACAAUUACAUUAUGAAAAGCAAAAACACUGUUCAAAAAAUGCUUCUGGGGAUCGAAAAAACAUAGUUUUCCAAAGGCACAUUUUCCC